rnacentral:rRNA from 1 species
UACGUAGGGUGCGAGCGUUGUCCGGAAUUAUUGGGCGUAAAGAGCUUGUAGGCGGUCUGUCGCGUCUGCCGUGAAAUUUCGGGGCUCAACCCCGAACUUGCGGUGGGUACGGGCAGACUAGAGUGUGGUAGGGGAGACUGGAAUUCCUGGUGUAGCGGUGAAAUGCGCAGAUAUCAGGAGGAACACCGAUGGCGAAGGCAGGUCUCUGGGCCACUACUGACGCUGAGAAGCGAAAGCAUGGGGAGCGAACAGG